rnacentral:rRNA from 1 species
GGCCAGACUCCUACGGGAGGCAGCAGUGGGGGAUAUUGCACAAUGGGGGAAACCCUGAUGCAGCGACGCCGCGUGAGUGAAGAAGUAUUUCGGUAUGUAAAGCUCUAUCAGCAGGGAAGAAAAAAGACGGUACCUGACUAAGAAGCCCCGGCUAAAUACGUGCCAGCAGCCGCGGUAAUACGUAUGGGGCAAGCGUUAUCCGGAUUUACUGGGUGUAAAGGGAGCGUAGGCGGCAGGGCAAGCCUGAUGUGAAAGCCCGGGGCCCAACCCCGGGACUGCUCUUGGAACUGCGCGGCUGGAGUGCAGGAGGGGCAGGCGGAAUUCCUGGUGUAGCGGUGAAAUGCGUAGAUAUCAGGAGGAACACCGGUGGCGAAGGCGGCUUACUGGACCAUAACUGACGUUGAGGCUCGAAAGCGUGGGGAGCGAACAGGAUUAGAUACCCGAGUA